rnacentral:tRNA from 1 species
UCCCUACAAGUCCAGUGGUUAGGACUCUGUGCUUCCACAUCAGGGGGCAUGGGUUCGAUCCCCGUACUGGGAA